rnacentral:rRNA from 1 species
GACGUAGGAUGCAAGCGUUGUCCGGAUUUAUUGGGCGUAAAGAGUUCGUAGGCGGUUCGUUAAGUCUGAUGUUAAAGACUGGGGCUCAACCCCGGGAGUGCAUUGGAUACUGGCGGACUGGAGUGUGGUAGAGGCUAGUGGAAUUCCCAGUGUAGCGGUGAAAUGCGUAGAUAUUGGGAAGAACACCAGUGGCGAAGGCGACUUACUGGACUGUAACUGACGCUGAGGCAUGAAAGCGUGGGGAGCAAACAGG